UACGAAGGGGGCUAGCGUUGUUCGGAAUUACUGGGCGUAAAGCGCGCGCAGGUGGUCUUUCAAGUCAGUGGUGAAAGCCCGGAGCUCAACUCCGGAAAUGCCAUUGAAACUGUGAGACUUGAGGAUGAGAGAGGUGAGUGGAAUUCCCAGUGUAGAGGUGAAAUUCGUAGAUAUUGGGAAGAACACCGGUGGCGAAGGCGGCUCACUGGCUCAUAUCUGACGCUGAGGCGCGACAGCGUGGGGAGCAAACAGG
rnacentral:rRNA from 1 species